GUAAGUUGUUUUCAAUGUGGUAUUUGUAG
rnacentral:piRNA from 1 species